rnacentral:tRNA from 1 species
UGCCGAGUGGUGCAACGGUAGCACAGUGGACUUUGGAUCCUCUGAUUCUGGUUCGAAUCCAGGCUCGGCAGCCA